rnacentral:rRNA from 1 species
UGGGGAAUAUUGCACAAUGGGGGAAACCCUGAUGCAGCGACGCCGCGUGAGCGAAGAAGUAUUUCGGUAUGUAAAGCUCUAUCAGCAGGGAAGAAAAUGACGGUACCUGACUAAGAAGCACCGGCUAAAUACGUGCCAGCAGCCGCGGUAAUACGUAUGGUGCAAGCGUUAUCCGGAUUUACUGGGUGUAAAGGGAGCGUAGACGGCUGUGCAAGCCUGAAGUGAAAGGCCGGGGCCCAACCCUGGGAGUGCUUUGGGAACUGUGCAGCUAGAGUGUCGGAGAGGCAAGUGGAAUUCCCAGUGUAGCGGUGAAAUGCGUAGAUAUUGGGAGGAACACCAGUGGCGAAGGCGUCUUGCUGGACGAUGACUGACGUUGAGGCUCGAAAGCGUGGGGAGCAAACAGG